AUGGCAGGAUCCACCUCCUCUGCUGACAGGCUCUGUCUCUCUGUUUCUGCAUUCAUAUUAAACACACAGAAGCAACAUUUUACCUUUUAGAAGACAUUAAUUGAACAAUUGAUAUGUAAUUUUCCUUCUUGCAAAAAUAGAUUAUAACUAUUGUUUAGAAUAGAAAACUAGCAGAAAAAUUUUUGGAAUUAUAAUAACAUAGACACAUUUUUAAAUAGAGAAGACAAAACAGUCACAGAGAGAAGAUAAGAGUAAUUCCACAGAGUUUGCCUGGGAGGGGAAUGGGUCUUGGAAGGAAGUCUUUAGAAGAAAUAUUGGUGCCAAAGAGACUGCUUAAAGAAAGGGCUCACCAAGGCUUAGAAAUGAGAGAGAGCGAGCAAGAGAGAGAAUACUCCACCCAUCUGCAAGGAGGCAGAUACUAACUUGCCCUGAGAAUCAAGACAGCCUUGUUUGUACAGAAUAAGCACAAGUACUUCUCAUGUAAAGAUAUUUUCUAAGAUGAAUGUUUUAAAGGUAAAAUGUUAAGAUUGUAUAUGUCUCAACAGUUUCUAAACACAAUUAAGCAUGAAGUGAUCACAAACUCAUCAAUUUAUGCCCCUCUGUCAUAAUCAUUAUGAGCAUCCCCUUUCACUCUAAAAAAUGGCUCCGACUGCAUAAUAAAUUAUAUGGUUGUGCUGAUCAGGAGGAGCAUUUGGAAACAGGACCUUUAUUGAGUUGUUACGUCAUAGAAUUCUAUCUUUGCCGUUAAAGAUUUUGUAAUCUCAAGCAGAAAACUCUGAAAUAAUAUUCAGUGUAGAGGGAGGGUGAAUGUUUCUGUCUUGUGUUAAAGAAAUAUGCAAGGGGUGGCCUCAAGUUCUCAUUUCUGACUUCCUUUUCUGGUAAUGCCGGCCGGAGCAUCUCCAAGAAGUUUAAUCUUCCUUUGUACAGGGUUAAGAAAGGAACAAAGGACAGGAUUUUUCUAAACAAUGAUAUGUGCAAGUCAUUAUUUAGAACAUGACAUAUGUACAAACAUAUCUUUCACAUGAGCAAGGCAAAUACAACUCACUUGGAUUUUCCUGCUAAACGUAUACAAUGGGCUGCCAAAAGUUUCAGUCUCAGGAAAUUAGAAAAAACACCAAGGGAGGUCUCUGACCACUUGAUUAAGUCUAGAACCUGCCACUAAUAGAAAAUUCAGUGGAGAGAUUCUUAUCUUUCUGUGGCUGUUGCAACAAUGAGGAGACAUAUAUGUAAAUACUAAUGUUGCUACCUAACCACAGCAUUGAAACAGAAUUCUUUCCUUAUAGCCUUGGACUGCUUAGUCAUCCUGAGAGAGUACCCCUCUCUCAAAUGCUCCCUCUACAACAGUGAGACUGUGAUGAGAACAAUUGCAGUUCAACAAUCUGUUGAAGGAGGGAGAAGCCAGGAGCUCCAAUACUGACUGGUGUAUGGAUCUCCUUCAGUCUGAUUCUUUCUUAGUUUCUUGCUAGUUCAGUGUCCCCUAGUGGUAACUGGCCUCAUUAAUGAACAAGCUGGUCACAGGAAAUAGACUGGGAGACCUGUAUAAUCAUGGUCUCUUUCAUUUGUGUUUUAUAAUGAACACAAAUUCUUAGGACCUACUAAGUGCCAGGUAGUACAUCUUCUCAUUAACUCUCUGAGUAGGAGAUUAGCAACAUCUAAAAUAAGAAACAGAGGUUCUUAUCUACAGAGAUAAGAAAACGGAGGUUCAAGGAGCCUAGGUGGCAUAGCCAAAGAUUGGUAUGUUGUAAGAGUCAGAGCCAGGAUUUGAAACUAGGAUGUUUGAUCCUUAGUCCUAAUGUUGUUGUUGUUGUAUUUGUUGAUUUUUAACUGUAUUCUCAUGUUUCAUGAGUCCAAGAUGACAGACAUUUUCUAGACACAAAUACAGCAUAGUGGCAAUUAGGAAAGGAGCCUCAAGAUCACUGAAUCUCUUCUGCCUCACCUUGGCUGCCUCUGACCUUUCUGACUUUGUGAGGGUUGGGAGGGCACAGGAUAGAAUGAACAAAGAACUGGCCUUAUUUGGACACACCUGGGUUUACAUCCUAGCCCCACCACUCCACCAUUCACUCAAUAAAUAUCUAUGGAGUACCAACCAUACUCUAGGCCCCAGAGACACAGUGAUACAGAACCGAGAAAAUAUUCUUCAUUGUAUUUCUCUUUCUUUCUGAUCCCCAGUUCUGUCAACUCUAAAAUUGAGGUGGGUAUACCACUGAAUAUUUUUGGAAGGUGAAUAUUAAAAGUUAUCUAACAUGUUAUGAAAAGAAAGAUAGCUGGUAAUUGAGGGCAAAAUAGUAAUACUGAUGGCCCAGUGCAAGGCAGCUUUUGCAAGCUGAAGACAACUGAUUGGUCCAAUAUUCUUAGAACCCUCUUUUGAGCUGGCUGUCUUUAGAUAUAACGAAAUCUGUGUACCAUCACAUAUUUUACUUAGCCAAGUCCUGAAUUCUGUUUGUGACAUUGUGUUGCCACAAAAACAAUGGAAAAACUGAUAUGUUUCCCAGACAAAGGUUGGUGUCUAGAUAUUUGAGAUGAUGUCUUUUGAGGAAUAUAUUUAAAAGACUGAAUGGUAACAUGUUUUUCGUGAGCAAUAUUUUAUGUUAUAGUGAUGCUAAUAUAAUAUUUACUUAGAACUUUGGGUAUCUCAGAGCAUAUUGUUCCUUAAGGAACUUUGUGUUCCUUUUUCUAAUACAAUAAUUGAGAAAACUGGCUUAGGAAACUAAGAAAUCACUGAAUGUUAGAGCAUGAGCAUAACUUAAAGAUUUUCUAAUUCAACCUCCUCAUUUUACAGACUGGAACGCAAGUGAGAUUAUGUAUCUUAUUCAAAGUAAUUCUUUAAUUAAUUCAACACAUAUUUAUUGUGUGUCUUUCAUGUGCUCGGUACUAUUGUUCUACAUGUUGGGAUUACAGCAGUGAGCAAAACAAACACAGUCACUGCUUUCAUGGACUUUUAUUCUAGUGGGAAGGGGGAUAUUUAAUAAAAAUUAAACAAAUAUAUACAAGGUCAGGUAAUGCUAAAUGUUAAAGAAAACGUAAUCAAGCAAGGUGAGGGCUAAAGGGUGAUGAAAGGGAGUCCUCUCUUAGAAAGAAUGUUCAGUGAAGGCAACAUUUGAGCACAGUCCCAAAUGAGGUAAGGGAGUGAACUGCACGGAUAUCUGGGGAAAGAAUAUUGCAGGCAGACAGAACAGCAAGUGCAAAGCCCUGAGGUGGACUCCCACUUAAAGGCCAAGGUGGCCAGAAUGCAAAAGUGAAGGGCAAGAGGGGCAGGGAAUGUGAUCUGAGAGCAGGGAGUGGAGGAGGCACAUCCCACAGGGCCUGGUGGGUGUGGUAAGGGCUCUGAGCUUUUAGGCCCUGGAGGGUUUUGAGUUGAGAACAGACAUGAUCUGAUUUAUGUUUUAGAAGGAUGACACACAAGCCA
rnacentral:lncRNA from 1 species